rnacentral:rRNA from 1 species
CACGUAGGUGGCCUGUUAAGUCGGGUGUGAAAGCCCUCGGCUCAACCGAGGAAGUGCAUUCGAAACUAGCAGGCUUGAGUAUGGAAGAGGGUCGUGGAAUUCCCGGUGUAGAGGUGAAAUUCGUAGAUAUCGGGAGGAACACCAGUGGCGAAGGCGGCGACCUGGGCCAAUACUGACACUGAGGUGCGAAAGCGUGGGGGAGAAAC